CUGUGGCCUCCCGCCCCUUCCCCAUGACCCGCAGCCCAGGCCGGGGGCCAGCGGCGGCUAGAAGGGCUCGGAGCUUCCUGGGGACAGAGGUGCGGGCUCCAGGCCACGAACAGGCCCUGCCUGCUUGUCCCUGCUGUUGCCGAGGGCUCAGUGCCAACUCCUGAGAGCUGCCCAGCGCCCCGCAGCCGGGUCCUGCCGAGGGCAUGGCACAGGCACCCUCCACGCUGGAGAGCGGGGCCCUGGCAUCUGCGCCCUGGGGUCCCAGGAAGGGCAGCCCAGACAGGACAGAGAAGGCCGCAGCGAUGCCCGACUCCCCAGCUGAGGUGAAGACGCAGCCCCGGGCCACACCUCCCAGCAUGCCGCCCCCGCCCCCCGCUGCGUCCCAGGG
rnacentral:lncRNA from 1 species